rnacentral:lncRNA from 1 species
GGCAGGCCCCGCCCACAACGCGGCCUCCGCUUUCAGAACUUCUCUGCUGCGGUUUGAGUGUCUCAGAUCUCCCAGACUCCACACCGGUCUUGGACCCUCGAUGGAACCUCGCAGGAGGGCUCAGGCAAUGCAGAGUCUUCAGGUGCUACCAGGUGCCGGGGCGGGGUCAUUGACAUCAGCGGGGGAAGGACUGAGAAUUGAGCCAGUUCUGUGGCUCGUGAGCAGAAAAAUGCGAAUUACAGUUUGAUCUUAUUAAAUUAAGCCCUGGACUGAGCAGCUAGGUAAGCCAAGACACUUCAUGAUCCCUUGUCACCUGUCCAAUAGUGGAUCUGUCUGUUGCAAAUGAAUCUUGUGGUUUAAUUGUAUUAGCGAUGUUACUGGAAGCUGCCGGUUUUAUUUUUAAUUUUUUAAAUAUAUAUAUAUAUAUAUAUAUAUUUUAGGUGUAGACGGAAAUAAUACCUUUAUUUUAUUUAUUUGUUUUUACGCUGUGUGGAGGACCGAGCCCAGGGUCUCGCGCGCAGGAGGCGAGCGCUGUUCUGCUGAGCCACAACUCCAGCCCAAGGCUGCCGUUUUUUGAGGGAAAAAAAAGUUCUUGUGGAAAACUAGAUAUUUUACAAUGGCCAAGGUCACCGUCACUGGUUCACUUUGGGGUCCACGUUAGAGUUAUUCUUUAAUCUGGUUAACAAUCAGUCAUGAAUAACUGGAUACUUCUUUUAAGUUCCAGGAAAGCAAGACAACAGUAAGCCCACAUGAGGAGGGCUGCCAUUUGGGUGGUCAUCAAAGACAGGGCUGCUCUAGAAAGUUUAUAGAAAAAGGAUAUGCGGUAUUUUCAACGACUACCCAAAGAGCUGAUGUGAAGGACCUGCACUGCCAAGAGCCUCAAACUCCUUUCUAAAGCACACACCCUCAGGGCUCUGCCCAUCUCCUGGCUCUUCAGUGUGGGGACCCUACUCCUGCUCUGUGAAGCAAGUUCCUGGGUGAAGAGCCAACCAAUGGAACAGCAGGAAAGCCACUCUGUGAGUAUCCAGAGGGCUAUCAGAAGCCCAGGGAGCCCUCAGAUCUCCAGGGCCUUGAGCCCUGGAGGAGGGAAAGCUCUUCCCCUACAGCUGCUGUAGGCAGGACUUUCGCUCUGGUUAUCUUUGGAAUCGUUGGCUCAUGACUCCUGGUCAAGUGUGACAGCAGCUUCCCCAGAAAAGAAGUCUAGCUAACCCCCAGUCUGCCUACAGACAGAAGCCCUUCAGAACCCUGAAUGUGACAAAAGCUGUCUGAGGAGUGCCAAUGUGGACCCUGGGGAGAGAGCCAUUCCCCCACUGAGGGUGGCAAGGACUUCACUGAGGAGUCAAAACUUAGGACCCGCAUGCAUCUGCACAGUGGGGUGGAGCUGUUCACAUGCUCUGAGUGCAAGAGGAACUCCUUACUUGUUCAGUCACCAGCAUGGGCACAGAGGGAAAAGACCUUUCCCAUGUCCAGAAUGUGGCCACUUUGCUUCCAGGCUUCCUCCACACCUACACAGUGAAGAGAGUGUUCUCCUGCAGUGACUGUGAGAAAAACCCCUGAAAUCUCAGCCUGUCACCCACCUCCCUCUGUACACAGGUUCCCAGAACAUCAUAAGAGUUUACUGCAAGCUGACAUCAAAGUCCAUGUAUCCAUAUCCCCAAGAGGUCUUUUUCUUACCCACAGUCUGAGCUCCCUGAGCCCCUCAGAGUGCACAGUGAAGUGAGGCCUUCCAGUGCCUAAGAGUAAAGAAGGAAGCUUUCCCAGCCUGAAGGAGGACCCACUUGUCCACCAGGGUCUACACAGAGGGCAGAGACCCUUAUAAUGUCCCAGUGUGGCCAGGCACACCACUCAAGCUACCAUGUUGUUUUCUCCCACUGCUCUCUGUUCUUUACAGAGAGUCCUCCUGGUCACUGUUGUGGUUUUACUCUUUUUUCGUGGGUGGGGCGGGGUGAUGUACCAGGGAUUGAACUCAGGGGCAGUUGGCCACUGAGCCACAUUCCCAGCCGUAUUUAUUUAGAGACAGGGUCUCACUGAAUUGCUUAGCACCUCACUUUUUCUGAUACUGGUUUUGAACUUGUGAUCCUCCUGCCUCAGCCUCCCAAGCCUUUGGGAUUACAGGUGUGUUUCACCGUGCCCAGCUUGGUUUUACUCUUACUAGGCUUUUUGUAACUAGUUUUGACUGACCCAUACCUUGGCAUUUGAAGUGUAUACUGGAUUUUGGCAAUAAUGUUAUGCAUGGUUGAUGUCAGUAAUAAUCUGGAGAUCAAAUUAAACCUUCCCUGAAACUCAGGGAGCAGACUCUUGAUUACUGUAAGGAAAAGCCCAUGAUUUACUUAAUACUAAAAUGAUGGUCCCUAAAAUCUCUUUGUUCCCCAAAGUUUCAUAUUCCUCCUCCUAAUUCAGCACAUUUUCCAUGAGUUAUUUUGCUAACAACAUUCCACUGGCAAUUCAUACAAUGCUGGCUGCAAAUUCAGCUACUGGCUACAUAUUUCUCCAGAGCUCCAAAC